CUAGUACUCCCUCCGUCCGGAAAUACUUGUCAUCAAAAUGGAUAAAAGGGGAUGUAUCUAGACAUAUUUUAGUUCUAGAUACAUCUCUUUUUAUCUAUUUUGAUGACAAGUAUUUUCGGACGGAGGGAGUAUUUC
rnacentral:pre_miRNA from 1 species